CUCUCUCCCCCCUCCCUUCCCCCCCCCCCCCCUUUUUUUUUUCCUCCUUGGUCUCAGUCAUGGGGACACCAUUGGGAAUGGAGGGAAGCCAGUGACUGCAUGCUCAAUGCUUUCUAAGUUGCGCACUGAUAUUCCAGGCCGGCUGUGCCUGAGCCAGUGUGGGCUUAAGUUCUUCACGGCCCCGGGGCCCUGGGAAGGUGGAGCCAGCUGCUUCUCCCCGAAUAACUGGGAGGUGAAACAAGAAGCUCUAUGACGCAGUUGAUCGAAAAUGACACAGACACAGAAAAGUCAGGACUCGGCCCCCUCCAGUGCCUCCACCUGCUGCCCACGGCCAGAGUGCAGAUGUGCCAAGUAAGGAGCAGAAAGCAAAAGGACUCGGCUGAAGUGUGCAGCCUCCAGCAGCUCUCCCAUCCUUUAUGAACUGGAUCUGGAAAGGAGACUCUCAGGAGGCUAGGUACAAUGAUGAACUCUGGAAAUAUUGCAAGAGGUCACCAAAGGAAAACUCUGAAAGGGGAAAGAGAGAGGGAAACAAGCUAGAGAUCCUAGUACUGCAAGAACAACACAGCAGGGGGGUGUCUUACUACCCCCUUGUCCAACAGGAGAAGGUGAUCUCGGCUUGGCAUUUCCUGCUGCCCAACCAGGCUCCAGAGGAGAACCAACAGAGGUUCCCUCUUUUUGGUGGGCCUGAGAUUCUCCUCUCUCACGGACAGACACCUGGAAUGGCCAGAUGGUACCAAAAAAGGGGGUUACAGCAUAACAAGCAACCUCGCCUGGGAAGAAGCUUUUUUGUCUCCAUGGACCCAAGAGGACCCCUUAUCUAGAGGCACUGGGAGAACCAGCCUGAGGAAUUUCCUUCAGCCCCCUCAGGUAGCAGCAGGGAGGACCAGUGGGAGCCCCAAGAGACUGUAAUAAUAUGACAAACGCUCUGAAAUUAAAUUGCCAUUGGACCCACAGCCCACUAACCUAGGCCAGGAUCUGCUUGUUAACCUAAAUAGGGUGAGAGCUGGCUUAAAAAAAAAAAUUCAAAUCGGACUGAGAGUCUCCUAACAUAAAAGGCAAGAUGUCCAAACAUACACAUCAUAUCAAGAACCAGGAGAAUAACGUAGAUGAGAAAAGACAAUCAGGUGACACCCACUCUGAGAUGAACCAGGUGCUAGAAGCACCUGACAAAGACUUUGAAGCAGCUGUCAUAAAAAUGCUUUAGAAAGGAAGUGCAAAUUCUCUUGAAACAAAUGAAAGAAGAGAAAAAAAAUCUUGGCCAAGAAACAGAGCUUAUAAAAAAGGAACCAAAUGGAAAUUAUAGCACUAGGAAAUACAAAUGACUGAAAUAAAAAACUCACCAGAUAGGCUCAAUGGUAGAGUGGAUACGACAAAAGGUAGAAUCAAUAAAAUUGAGGAAAAAACAACAGAAGUCACCCAAUCUGAGUGACAAAGAGAAAGCAUACAGAAAAAUUUCUCUACUGUAAAUGAUGACUUCGAUUCACACAUUAAUAGCUUUGAACACAUGCAGAUGGGCUGCUUAAUCACCUUAAGAGAACUAAUGGUUUUAAAUAGUGACAAAUAAUUGGAAAAUAACAAAUUUUAAAUGACACCAUUUACAAAAGCACCUAAAAUAUAGGGAAUAGUUGGGGCACAGAUGAUUUUUUAGGGCAGUGAAAAUACUCUGUAUAUUAUAAUGGUAGAUAUAGGUCAUACAUUUUUACAAACCCAUAGAAUGUGUGCCAUCAAGAGUAACCUGUAACGGAAACCAUGGACUUUGGGUGAUAAGAUGGGCCAAUGUAGGUUUCUGAACUGUAAGAAAUGUAUCUUUCUGGUUGGGGAUGUUGAUUAUGGGGGAGGCUAUGCAAGUGUUGAGGGAAGGAGUGUAUAGGAAAUCUUUCCUUUCCUCUCCAUUUUGUUGUGACCCUAAAACUGCUCUUAAAAAAGUCUUUAGAAAAUAGCCAAAUAGGAGCACCUGGGUGGCUCAGUCAGUUAAGCAUCCGACUUCAGCUCAGGUCAUGAUCUCACAGUUCAUGGGUUCGAGCCCCACAUCGUGGGUCCGAGCCUGCUUCAGGUUCUAUGUUUCCCUCUCUCUCUGCCCCUCCCCCACUCAUGCUCUGUCUCUUAAAUAUAAACAAUAAAACAAUUUUUUAAAAAAAAAUAGCGAAAUAAAUGUGAUGAAAUUUAAUUAAGAACUAUAAGAUUAUUGUUGAAAGAUAUUAAAGAAACCCCAAGCAAAUAUUUAUAGAAUGAAAAACUUAAUGCUCUAAAAAAAUUUUUUUAAUUUUUAAAUUUUUUUACUUGAGAGGGAGUGUGAGUGGGGGAGAGGGGUGGAGAGAGUGAGAGAGAGAGAGAGAGAGAGAGAGAGAGAGAAUCUCAAGCAGGCUCCAUGCUGAGCAUGCAGCCUGAUGUGGGACUUGAUCCUAAGAGACUGGAAUCAUGACCUGAGCUGAAAUCAAGAGUUGGGUGCUCAACCAACUGAGCCACCCAGGCGCCCCAAGACUUAAUGCUUUUAAAGUCAAUUCUCUCCAAACUGAUCUCUAGAACUAGCACAAUUUCAAUAUAAAUUCCAGUAGAGUUUUGUUAAUUUUAUUUUUAGCAUAAACUUCAUCCUAUAAUUUAUUUGGAAAAUUAAAAGACCAAAACAAUCUUGAAUAGGAACAUUUGUCAAGACUUAUUCUGAAGCUUUAGUAAAUAAGACAGUGUAAGAUUUGUGUAAGCAUAGACAAAUAGACCCAUGGGACAGAAAUGAAAGUUCUAGAAAACAGACCACUCACAUUCAAUACCUUGAUUUGUGAUUUUAAAAAAAGACACUGCCAUGCAAUGAGACAGGAGGGAUGGUCUUUUCAUAAACUCUGCUGGGUUGACUGCAUAUUCAUUGAAAAAAAAAAAUUAAUCUUGACCUUACCUCACACCAGACACAAAAAUUAAAUCAGGUAGGACACCUGGGUGGCUCAGUCAGUUAUGAGUCUGACUCAUGGUUUCAGCUCAGGUCAUGAUCUCAUGGUUCCUGAGAUCUAGCCCCACAUUGGGCUCUGCUUGGGAAAAUCUCUCUUUCCCUCUCUAUCUGCCCCUCCCGUGGUCGUGCUCUCUCUCUCUCAAAAUAAAUAAAUAAAUAAGCUUAAAAAAUCAAAUCAGGUAGACUGUAAUCUAAAUAUGAAAGGUAAAAUGAUAAAACUUCUAAAAGAUAACAUCAGAGAAUAAUCUCAUGAGCUUGGACACGAAAAAUUUUCUCAAACACAGUACAAAAAAACCACUAAGAACAUGAGAAAAGAUCAGUAAACUGGACUUCAUUAAAACCAAGAAGUUUGCUCACCAAAAGACACCAAGAAGAGAGUAAAAAGGUUGGGGUGCUUGGAUAGCUCAGUGGGUUGAGCGUCUGACUCUUGAUUUCAGGUAAGGUCACGAUCGCCGGGUCAUGAGAUCGAGCCCUGAAUCAGGAUCCACACUGACUGUGGAAUCUGCUUGAGAUUCCCUCUCUCUCUUUCUUUCUCUCUCUCUAAAAAAUAAAUAAAUAAAUAAAUAAAUAAAUAAAUAAAUAAUUUAAAACCUUAAAAAGAGAGUGAAAGGCAAGCCACAGAGAAACAAUAUUUGCGUAUCUUAAACUUGAUUGAAAAAAAUUGUGUCCAGGAUAUAUGAGACAUCUUCAAAAACCAUUAGUAGUCCAAUAGAAAAAAAAUGAGCAAAAGACUGGCACAGGUACCUCACAAAGAGGCUAUACAAUUUAUCAGUAAAUAUGAGCAGGGGAGUACAGAGGACGUUCACAGGGUAACACCACUAUAUACCCACCAGAGUGGCUGAAAAUGAACAGACUGAUAACAUUAAGUGCUGGAGAGGAUGUGUGGCCAUUGCCACCGCCAGCCACUGACCAGCAUGGCGGUAAAUGGGUGCAAUCACUGUGGAAAAUUUGGGGCAGGAUUUACUGCAGCUGAACAAUGUAGAGCCUGCGACUCAGCAGUUCCCCUCCUUGGUAUACCCCCAACUGAAACAUAUACACACACGCGCACCGAAGACACGUACAAAACCGUUCAGAGCUAUCUAGUUAAGGAGCCAAAGACUGGAGACGUGAAAAGUUCUAAAAGGAAACCACACUAAAAUGGAGUUGGGAGGCCAGAGGUGGGAGUUCUCAUGCCCUACCCCUCCUGGCCAGUUGCAGAAAGAGCCACACCUUAAAAUUUUUUUUUAAUGUUUAUUCAUUUUUUGAGAGAGAGACAGAAAGCAUGAGAGUGAGGAGGGGCAGAGAGAGAAGGAGACACAGAAUCUGAAACAGGCUCCAUGAGCUGUCGGCACAGAGCCUGACGUGGGACUCGAACCCAUGAAGUGUGAGAUCAUGACCUGAGCUGGAGUCAGACGCUUAACCGACUGAGCCACCCAGGCGCCCCAAGGUGAUACUACUUUAGCGACUAUUUUACUAUCCCAGAAGGAGGAAGAUUUUCCUCCCCUGGUGACACUCAGCCAGUGAGAGACUGUAAUAACUCAGCCAAUGAAAAACCACUAUAAUUUGAACCCCCAGUUGACCCUAAUGGACUUUUUUUUUUUUUUUUUUUUACAACAGACCUCCCAACUUGUCCCUUUCCUCUGUAAAAGAGCGUUCCUCUCCUUCAAUCUCUGGACUUGCCUAUGCUUUUGCUCUGAAGCUACUUUGUCCCGAAUUGCGAUUCUCUGCUUUUUCUGAAUGAACCCCGUCGCUCUACCGAUAAAACAAC